CCUGGCUCAGGACGAACGCUGGCGGCGUGCCUAAUACAUGCAAGUCGAGCGGACCUUUCAAAAGCUUGCUUUUGGAAGAUCAGCGGCGGACGGGUGAGUAACACGUGGGCAACCUGCCUGUGAGACUGGGAUAACUUCGGGAAACCGGAGCUAAUACCGGAUAAUAUAAGGAACCUCCUGGUUCUUUAUUGAAAGAUGGUUUCGGCUAUCACUCACAGAUGGGCCCGCGGCGCAUUAGCUAGUUGGUGAGGUAACGGCUCACCAAGGCGACGAUGCGUAGCCGACCUGAGAGGGUGAUCGGCCACACUGGGACUGAGACACGGCCCAGACUCCUACGGGAGGCAGCAGUAGGGAAUCUUCCACAAUGGACGAAAGUCUGAUGGAGCAACGCCGCGUGAGCGAUGAAGGCCUUCGGGUCGUAAAGCUCUGUUGUUAGGGAAGAACAAGUGCGAGAGUAACUGCUCGCACCUUGACGGUACCUAACCAGAAAGCCACGGCUAACUACGUGCCAGCAGCCGCGGUAAUACGUAGGUGGCAAGCGUUGUCCGGAAUUAUUGGGCGUAAAGCGCGCGCAGGUGGUCCUUUAAGUCUGAUGUGAAAGCCCACGGCUCAACCGUGGAGGGUCAUUGGAAACUGGGGGACUUGAGUGCAGAAGAGGAAAGUGGAAUUCCAAGUGUAGCGGUGAAAUGCGUAGAGAUUUGGAGGAACACCAGUGGCGAAGGCGACUUUCUGGUCUGUAACUGACACUGAGGCGCGAAAGCGUGGGGAGCAAACAGGAUUAGAUACCCUGGUAGUCCACGCCGUAAACGAUGAGUGCUAAGUGUUAGAGGGUUUCCGCCCUUUAGUGCUGCAGCUAACGCAUUAAGCA
rnacentral:rRNA from 1 species